CAUUAUGUUAGGGAAGGAAAACUCC
rnacentral:piRNA from 1 species